CUUCUUCCUGGUUUAAUUGGGUCAACGUAUGAAGGAGGUAUUUCUCUCUCCAUAAUCUCUACGGGAACAAUCCAAGAAUUUUUUGGAGGCACCAAAUCAAAAUCUUCACAAUAUGCCAUUAUGUAUUUUUCCAUAGAAUAAUAUGAAGAUGAGUACUCAUAAAUUUUUUUUGUAAAUUGUGCAUCAUAUUGGGCUCGGAUCGUUGCCAUCACAUGUGAAUAAGGUAUUUUGUCCAAGUUAAAAACUCUACAAGUAUAAGUUCUUCUUUGAAGAUUGACCAUGG
rnacentral:lncRNA from 1 species